rnacentral:rRNA from 1 species
GACGAACGCUGGCGGCGUGCUUAACACAUGCAAGUCGAACGGAAAGGCCUCUUUCGGGGGGUACUCGAGUGGCGAACGGGUGAGUAACACGUGAGUAACCUGCCCUUGACUUUGGGAUAACUUCAGGAAACUGGGGCUAAUACCGGAUAGGAGCUCCUGCUGCAUGGUGGGGGUUGGAAAGUUUCGGCGGUUGGGGAUGGACUCGCGGCUUAUCAGCUUGUUGGUGGGGUAGUGGCUUACCAAGGCUUUGACGGGUAGCCGGCCUGAGAGGGUGACCGGCCACAGUGGGACUGAGAUACGGCCCAGACUCCUACGGGAGGCAGCAGUGGGGAAUAUUGCACAAGGGGUGGAAGCCUGAUGCAGCAACGCCGUGUGCGGGAGGACGGCCUUCGGGUUGGAAACCGCUUUCGCUCAUGACGAAGCUUUGUGUGACGGUAGUGGGUAAAGAAGCACCGGCUAACUACGUG